ACCGGCGCACGGGUGAGUAACGCGUAUCCAACCUGCCCACCACUGGGGGAUAACCUUGCGAUAGUAAGACUAAUACCCAAUGGUGAUGGAUGGGGAUGCGUCUGAUUAGCUUGUUGGCGGGGUAACGGCCCACCAAGGCGACGAUCAGUAGGGGUUCUGAGAGGAAGGUCCCCCACAUUGGAACUGAGACACGGUCCAAACUCCUACGGGAGGCAGCAGUGAGGAAUAUUGGUCAAUGGACGAGAGUCUGAACCAGCCAAGUAGCGUGCAGGAUGACGGCCUAUGGGUUGUAAACUGCUUUUAUAAGGGAAUAUGUACCUUAUGAAUAAGGACCGGCUAAUUCCGUGCCAGCAGCCGCGGUAAUACGGAAGGUCCGGGCGUUAUCCGGAUUUAUUGGGUUUAAAGGGAGCGUAGGCCGGAGAUUAAGCGUGUUGUGAAAUGUAGAUGCUCAACAUCUGCACUGCAGCGCGAACUGGUUUCCUUGAGUACGCACAAAGUGGGCGGAAUUCGUGGUGUAGCGGUGAAAUGCUUAGAUAUCACGAAGAACUCCGAUUGCGAAGGCAGCUCACUGGAG
rnacentral:rRNA from 1 species